rnacentral:rRNA from 1 species
ACAUUAGACGAAUCAUCUGGAAAGAUGAAUCAAAGAAGGUAAUAAUCCUGUAGUCGAAAAUGUUGUCUCUCUUGAGUGGAUCCUGAGUACGACGGAGCACGUGAAAUUCCGUCGGAAUCUGGGAGGACCAUCUCCUAAGGCUAAAUACUCUCUAGUGACCGAUAGUGAACCAGUACCGUGAGGGAAAGGUGAAAAGCACCCCGGAAGGGGAGUGAAAUAGAACCUGAAACCGUGUGCUUACAAGUAGUCAGAGCCCGUUAAUGGGUGAUGGCGUGCCUUUUGUAGAAUGAACCGGCGAGUUACGAUUUGAUGCAAGGUUAAGCAGUAAAUGUGGAGCCGUAGCGAAAGCGAGUCUGAAUAGGGCGUUUAGUAUUUGGUCGUAGACCCGAAACCAGGUGAUCUACCCUUGGUCAGGUUGAAGUUCAGGUAACACUGAAUGGAGGACCGAACCGACUUACGUUGAAAAGUGAGCGGAUGAACUGAGGGUAGCGGAGAAAUUCCAAUCGAACCUGGAGAU